rnacentral:rRNA from 1 species
CACGGGGGGAGCAAGCGUUGUUCGGAAUCACUGGGCGUAAAGGGCGUGUAGGCGGUCAAGUAAGUGGGAUGUGAAAUCCCUCGGCUCACCCGAGGACCUGCAUCCCAAACUGCUUGGCUUGAGUAUGGGAGAGGAUGAGGGAAUUCCUGGUGUAGCGGUGAAAUGCGCAGAUAUCGGGAGGAACACCUAUGGCGAAGGCAGCUCGCUGGGACGUUACUGACGCUGAGACGCGAAAGCGUGGGGAGCAAACAGG